rnacentral:rRNA from 1 species
UACGGAGGGAGCUAGCGUUGUUCGGAAUUACUGGGCGUAAAGCGCACGUAGGCGGCUUUGUAAGUUAGAGGUGAAAGCCCGGGGCUCAACUCCGGAAUUGCCUUUAAGACUGCAUCGCUAGAAUUGUGGAGAGGUAAGUGGAAUUCCGAGUGUAGAGGUGAAAUUCGUAGAUAUUCGGAAGAACACCAGGGGCGAAGGCGACUUACUGGACACAUAUUGACGCUGAGGUGCGAAAGCGUGGGGAGCAAACAGG